UAGAAGUCUUCGGACUUUGAGACCGGCGCACGGGUGCGUAACGCGUAUGCAAUCUACCUUUUACAGAGGGAUAGCCCAGAGAAAUUUGGAUUAAUACCUCAUAGUAUAUAGACCUGGCAUCAGGAUUAUAUUAAAGUCACAACGGUAAAAGAUGAGCAUGCGUCCCAUUAGCUAGUUGGUAAGGUAACGGCUUACCAAGGCUACGAUGGGUAGGGGUCCUGAGAGGGAGAUCCCCCACACUGGUACUGAGACACGGACCAGACUCCUACGGGAGGCAGCAGUGAGGAAUAUUGGACAAUGGGCGCAAGCCUGAUCCAGCCAUGCCGCGUGCAGGAUGACGGUCCUAUGGAUUGUAAACUGCUUUUAUACGAGAAGAAACACUCCAACGUGUUGGAGCUUGACGGUAUCGUAAGAAUAAGGAUCGGCUAACUCCGUGCCAGCAGCCGCGGUAAUACGGAGGAUCCAAGCGUUAUCCGGAAUCAUUGGGUUUAAAGGGUCCGUAGGCGGUUUAAUAAGUCAGUGGUGAAAGCCCAUCGCUCAACGGUGGAACGGCCAUUGAUACUGUUAAACUUGAAUUAUUAGGAAGUAACUAGAAUAUGUAGUGUAGCGGUGAAAUGCUUAGAGAUUACAUGGAAUACCAAUUGCGAAGGCAGGUUACUACUAAUGGAUU
rnacentral:rRNA from 1 species